rnacentral:tRNA from 1 species
GGGUAGUUUGGUCUAGUGGUAUGAUUCUCGCUUCGGGUGCGAGAGGGCCGCGACGUUCGAUCUUGCAACUCCCC